UAUUACACAUGACAUUUCAGAUAAAGAUGUUUUAAGAAUGAUAGAUGACUUUAUUUUUCAAUCUAAAACACACAUCCAUUAUUAUGUAAAUUAUAUUUUUUUUCUUAUUAUUUGUUUGAGUAGGGGAAAUACAAUAAAAGCGUUAAAGAAGUAAUAAUAUCCGCAUAUCAGUAGUAACAUUAAUAUAAAACUGUAAUAUUAUUUCGUUGUUCUCAUUGCUCAGUACAAUGAUAUUUAUAAGUGUAUUAACUAUUCUGGUAUGUAUUGCCAUAAGUUACUUCGUCCUGAGUUACCAUCGCCGAUGGUCUUCUAAAACCGUAAAUACCUUGCCUGGUCCAAGAACACUACCGUUUAUUGGGAAUGCCCACCAUCUUCUCCAGCGAAAUCCUAACGAAAUGUUGAAUAUUUUCACUAAGUGGGCAAAAGAUUAUCCGUCUCCAUUCCGAGUUUGGAUGGGUAACAAGUUAUUAAUUUUUUUAAAUGAACCAGAUCAAAUAAAGGUAGUGAAAUAAAACAUAUUCGUAUUCUACAAUAUAACUAUACUACAUAAAAAAAAAUUAAAAGGCCACUUUCUUCUACGGAAAAGGCAAUUUUCAAGUGACUGCAACUUCAUCGCAUAUAAUCAGAUUGAGAUCAAUAGAAAAGCGUUACAAAGUUCCUAGUUUCAAAACCUUUCAGUCGAGUUCAAUUCUUUUUAUUUGUUACAAAAUUACGUUAUGAGAAAGCGAUGUCCGUCGAUUGACUUUGUCAAAAGUUUGUCAAGGAGUGCUGAAGAAAAAAAA